GCCAAAAAACUAGCUCAACCCACACAAUAAUCUAUUCCACAUAAAUAAUUUUUAAAGAACGAAGAAUAAAAAUUAAAUCAUUCGACCUCCCCAGUACGGGCGACAGAAAAGGAAAAUGAAGCUAUAGACACAGUACCGCAAGGGAAAGCUGAAAGAGAAAUGAAAUAAAUCACUAAAGUAAAUAAAAGCAAAGACUCCCCCUUGUACCUUUUGCAUCAUGAUCUAGCCAGUAAGCCCAAGCAUAGAGAACUCUAGUUUGACACCCCGAAACCUGCACGAGCUACUCCGAGACAGCCUUUAGGGCCAACCCGUCUCUGUGGCAAAAGAGUGGGAAGAGCUCCGAGUAGAGGUGAAAGACCUAUCGAGUCAGGUAAUAGCUGGUUGCCCGAAAAAUGAAUACAAGUUCAGCUCCGAUACGCCCUUAGUCCAAAAGUUUAACUUACAAAGACCCAAGGUUAAUAACGGAAGUUAGUUAAGGAGGGUACAGCUUCCUUAACAGAGGACACAACCUCAACAGAAAGCUAAGGAAUAUAAUUAACUCAAGGCCACAGGCUUCAGUGGGCCUGAAAGCAGCCACCUGAAAAGAAAGCGUUAAAGCUCAGACCUAUACCAGCCUAUUAUUAGAUUAAUUUUCCCCAUGCUUCUAAAGAUAUCGGGCCAUUUUAUGCCCCCAUAAAACACACCAUGCUAGAACGAGUAAUAAGAAGAAAGACCUUCUCCCUGCACAAGCGUAAGUCGGAUUGGACCCCCCACCGACAAUUAACGGACCCAAAAAAAGAGGGACCUGCACCCAACCCCCCAAAGCAAGAAAAACACGCACCCUCCCCCGUUACCCUUACACAAGAGUGCCUAACAAAGGAAAGACUUAAAGGAGAAAAAGGAACUCGGCAAACCUAAACCUCGCCUGUUUACCAAAAACAUCGCCUCCUGCUUAACACAGUAUAGGAGGUCCUGCCUGCCCCGUGACUAAAGUUUAACGGCCGCGGUAUUUUAACCGUGCGAAGGUAGCGCAAUCAAUUGUCUUUUAAAUGGAGACCUGUAUGAAUGGCAAAACGAGGGUUUAACUGUCUCUUUAUCCCAGUCAAUGAAACUGAUCUGCCCGUGCAGAAGCGGGCAUACCCACAUAAGACGAGAAGACCCUAUGGAGCUUUAAGUGUUAACCAACCCUGAAACGCAGGCACAACAAAUGCCUCUAAAUACAAGGCCCUGGCACAAACACCUUCGGUUGGGGCGACCACGGGAAUAAAAUAAAACUCCCGAGUGGACACGGGAAAAAUCCUGAAACCAAGAACCACAAUUCUAAGUCACAAAAACUUUGACCAACAAUGAUCCGGCCAACCGGCCGAUCAACGGACCAAGUUACCCUAGGGAUAACAGCGCAAUCCUCUCCCAGAGUCCAUAUCGACGAGAGGGCUUACGACCUCGAUGUUGGAUCAGGACAUCCUGAUGGCGCAGCCGCUAUCAAGGGUUCGUUUGUUCAACGAUUAAAGUCCUACGUGAUCUGAGUUCAGACCGGAGUAAUCCAGGUCAGUUUCUAUCUAUUAAGCUUUCCCUCCUAGUACGAAAGGACCAGAGCGAAAAGGCCCAUGCUCCAAGCACGCCUUCCCCCUACCUAAUGAAAACAACUAAAUUAGCCAAAGGGGGGCCCGCCCCGGCCCAAGAGAAGGGCAAU
rnacentral:rRNA from 1 species